GGGAUAGAAUUGUCUCAGAAGGAAUAGUUUAAUUUUUGUGGUCAUAGAUAAGCUUUACCAUCUACUAGGAACUUAGGUGGAAUUUGCAUAAGCAACUUUGAUAAAAGAAAAAAAAAAUUGUAAAUUUGAGUCCCUCAUUCUUUUUUUCCACCUCCUUCAUACAGAGAUAUUAUGUCCCUUUUCAAUUUAUUUUUUAUGCAUUUUUAGCUUGUAUGUGCUACAAGAGAAAAGGAAAUCAAAUUCUCAAGCACAGAAAGAGCUAAGAGCAUUACUUCCUUUUCUUUUAUUAUUAAAUUUGCGUGUAUUUUUUAUAUGGACUUAGAUAUGGGUAAAUGCAAUCACACUACUUUCCAGAUUGCCUUAUAGAUUAUUCACAUGGUUUUAUGAAUCGGUACAUGUAAGAUCCAAAAAGGUUCAAGGUAAAAAUGCUGUCAGUUUCAAAAGUUGCCACAAAACAUUUUCAGUAAUAUUCUUGACGGUUGGCUAAUCCUUGUUCACACUAUUGUUAAAUAUUUCUGCCCUAAAUCCUGUUCACUGGUUAGUUUGGCAUCUCCUUUUAACUUGAUUAAUUAGAAUAAGCAGAAGCUUUGGAUUUUGCUGAUAGUGAUAGUUCCACAAACAUAUCUGCAGUCUUCAGUUUGUUUCUACUUUCAGCCAGGAUUUAAAUUUAUUUUCUUUCGCCUGAGAUCUGUUGCUCACUGGUGUCGUUGAUCUUAAUUUCCAUGAAAAAUAAUUAUUAAGCUUGUGAUCAUUCCAUUUCUAGCCUCUUGGGAAACUCAUUAACCAGGCAUUUUAUUUCAUUCUGCAGGCGUUCAAUGAGAUAAGCUCACGAGAGAUGGAGCAAAUCAAUGUUUUCAAAGGCAUACUGGACAACUACGUUUUUGUUGCUGUCCUUGGUUCUACAAUCAUU
rnacentral:misc_RNA from 1 species